CUUAUAUUCUGUAGCAAGGUUAACCGAAUAGGGGAGCCGAAGGGAAACCGAGUCUUAACUGGGCGUUAAGUUGCAGGGUAUAGACCCGAAACCCGGUGAUCUAGCCAUGGGCAGGUUGAAGGUUGGGUAACACUAACUGGAGGACCGAACCGACUAAUGUUGAAAAAUUAGCGGAUGACUUGUGGCUGGGGGGGAAAGGCCAAUCAAACCGGGAGAUAGCUGGUUCUCCCCGAAAGCUAUUUAGGUAGCGCCUCGUGAAUUCAUCUCCGGGGGUAGAGCACUGUUUCGGCAAGGGGGUCAUCCCGACUUACCAACCCGAUGCAAACUGCGAAUACCGGAGAAUGUUAUCACGGGAGACACACGGCGGGUGCUAACGUCCGUCGUGAAGAGGGAAACAACCCAGACCGCCAGCUAAGGUCCCAAAGUCAUGGUUAAGUGGGAAACGAUGUGGGAAGGCCCAGACAGCCAGGAUGUUGGCUUAGAAGCAGCCAUCAUUUAAAGAAAGCGUAAUAGCUCACUGGUCGAGUCGGCCUGCGCGGAAGAUGUAACGGGGCUAAACCAUGCACCGAAGCUGCGGCAGCGACGCUUAUGCGUUGUUGGGUAGGGGAGCGUUCUGUAAGCCUGCGAAGGUGUGCUGUGAGGCAUGCUGGAGGUAUCAGAAGUGCGAAUGCUGACAUAAGUAACGAUAAAGCGGGUGAAAAGCCCGCUCGCCGGAAGACCAAGGGUUCCUGUCCAACGUUAAUCGGGGCAGGGUGAGUCGACCCCUAAGGCGAGGCCGAAAGGCGUAGUCGAUGGGAAACAGGUUAAUAUUCCUGUACUUGGUGUUACUGCGAAGGGGGGACGGAGAAGGCUAUGUUGGCCGGGCGACGGUUGUCCCGGUUUAAGCGUGUAGGCUGGUUUUCCAGGCAAAUCCGGAAAAUCAAGGCUGAGGCGUGAUGACGAGGCACUACGGUGCUGAAGCAACAAAUGCCCUGCUUCCAGGAAAAGCCUCUAAGCAUCAGGUAACAUCAAAUCGUACCCCAAACCGACACAGGUGGUCAGGUAGAGAAUACCAAGGCGCUUGAGAGAACUCGGGUGAAGGAACUAGGCAAAAUGGUGCCGUAACUUCGGGAGAAGGCACGCUGAUAUGUAGGUGAAGUCCCUCGCGGAUGGAGCUGAAAUCAGUCGAAGAUACCAGCUGGCUGCAACUGUUUAUUAAAAACACAGCACUGUGCAAACACGAAAGUGGACGUAUACGGUGUGACGCCUGCCCGGUGCCGGAAGGUUAAUUGAUGGGGUUAGCGCAAGCGAAGCUCUUGAUCGAAGCCCCGGUAAACGGCGGCCGUAACUAUAACGGUCCUAAGGUAGCGAAAUUCCUUGUCGGGUAAGUUCCGACCUGCACGAAUGGCGUAAUGAUGGCCAGGCUGUCUCCACCCGAGACUCAGUGAAAUUGAACUCGCUGUGAAGAUGCAGUGUACCCGCGGCAAGACGGAAAGACCCCGUGAACCUUUACUAUAGCUUGACACUGAACAUUGAGCCUUGAUGUGUAGGAUAGGUGGGAGGCUUUGAAGUGUGGACGCCAGUCUGCAUGGAGCCGACCUUGAAAUACCACCCUUUAAUGUUUGAUGUUCUAACGUGGACCCGUAAUCCGGGUUGCGGACAGUGUCUGGUGGGUAGUUUGACUGGGGCGGUCUCCUCCUAAAGAGUAACGGAGGAGCACGAAGGUUGGCUAAUCCUGGUCGGACAUCAGGAGGUUAGUGCAAUGGCAUAAGCCAGCUUGACUGCGAGCGUGACGGCGCGAGCAGGUGCGAAAGCAGGUCAUAGUGAUCCGGUGGUUCUGAAUGGAAGGGCCAUCGCUCAACGGAUAAAAGGUACUCCGGGGAUAACAGGCUGAUACCGCCCAAGAGUUCAUAUCGACGGCGGUGUUUGGCACCUCGAUGUCGGCUCAUCACAUCCUGGGGCUGAAGUAGGUCCCAAGGGUAUGGCUGUUCGCCAUUUAAAGUGGUACGCGAGCUGGGUUUAGAACGUCGUGAGACAGUUCGGUCCCUAUCUGCCGUGGGCGCUGGAGAACUGAGGGGGGCUGCUCCUAGUACGAGAGGACCGGAGUGGACGCAUCACUGGUGUUCGGGUUGUCAUGCCAAUGGCACUGCCCGGUAGCUAAAUGCGGAAGAGAUAAGUGCUGAAAGCAUCUAAGCACGAAACUUGCCCCGAGAUGAGUUCUCCCUGACUCCUUGAGAGUCCUGAAGGAACGUUGAAGACGACGACGUUGAUAGGCCGGGUGUGUAAGCGCAGCGAUGCGUUGAGCUAACCGGUACUAAUGAACCGUGAGGCUUAACCU
rnacentral:rRNA from 1 species